rnacentral:rRNA from 2 species
GGUUCAGUGAGGCUUUCGGACUGGCCCAGGGAGGUCGGCAACGACCACCCAGGGCCGGAAAGUUAUCCAAACUCGAUCAUUUAGAGGAAGUAAAAGUCGUAACAAGGUCUCCGUUGGUGAACCAGCGGAGGGAUCAUU